UACAGAGGGUGCGAACGUUGCUCGGAAUUACUGGGCGUAAAGCGCAUGUAGGCGGGUCGGCAAGUCAGAUGUGAAAUCCCCGGGCUCAACCCGGGAACUGCAUCUGAAACUGCUGGUCUUGAGUACUGGAGAGGGUGGCGGAAUUCCUGGUGUAGAGGUGAAAUUCGUAGAUAUCAGGAGGAACACCGGUGGCGAAGGCGGCCACCUGGACAGUAACUGACGCUGAGAUGCGAAAGCGUGGGGAGCAAACAGG
rnacentral:rRNA from 2 species